AGGGUGGAGCUCAGCUAUCGGGCCAGGAGAGCCUAGUGGGAAGGAGAGAUUUUACUUUAGCUCCCUCAGGCAAGAUUCUAAAAGUACAGUUUGCUUUGCAAAUGUUCUCAUUUUACACACAAGCACACCAAAGUGUGAACACACACAAAUUAAGGUGAUAAGUAUGCCUAGGCCUUGCAUACCAGAAAAAAGCAAUGGAGAACAUUUUUCCCUUCUGUGGCAGUUCCAGGGGAUCUUGUUUAGCUUAGCUGGGGAUAAAGGUGACAGUUAAAAAUAGCCUACUUCGCUCAUGAAAAAAUGGUACUGCAUCAAGGUAGCUUUUUUGAGGCAAAAGAAUCAUUCUAGGUUUGGCAAGGUAGUCCUUGUAAGAGCACUGGCUUGCUUUUGGAGUGCACCCAUCAUCUUCAUUUCAGGAUUGGCAAGAAGAUCAAGUAAAGUACAAGCAUCUUUGAAGAGUGAAAAAAUAAUUUUCCAAGUAAGCAAAUACAACUUUGCACUUCAAAUCAGGCCUUGAUUCAUCAAAAAA
rnacentral:lncRNA from 1 species